rnacentral:rRNA from 1 species
GACGAACGCUGGCGGCGUGCUUAACACAUGCAAGUCGAACGGCAAGGCCCUGCUUUCGUGGGGUGCUCGAGUGGCGAUCGGGUGAGUAACACGUGAGUAUCCUGCUCUUGACUUUGGGAUAACUUCAGGAAACUGGGGCUAAUACCGUAUAGGAGCUCCUGCUGCAUGGUGGGGGUUGGAAAGUUUCGGCUGUUGGGGAUGGACUCGCGGCUUAUCAGCUUGUUGGUGGGGUAGUUGCUUACCAAGGCUUUGACGGGUAGCCGGCAUGAGAGGGUGACCGGGGACAAGAGGACUGAGAUACGGAGCAGAGGGCAACAGGAGGCAGCAGGGGGGAAUAUGACACAAUGAGCGGAAGCCUGAGGAAGAGACGCCGGGUGCGGGAUGACGGCCUUCGGGGUGUGAACCGCUUUAGGCUGUGACGAAGCGUGAGUGACGGUAAUGGGUAAAGAAGCACCGGCUAACUACGUG